GGUUGUUUUUGUUGUUGUUGUUGUUUUUGUUUGUGUAUUUGUUUGUUUUGUAUAUGAUGAUAAAAACAAAACCACAAGAUAACUGAUAAGAGGGAAGAUGAAAAGGAAAAUGGCUGAACAGAAGAGUUGUUCUGGUGUGUGGUUGUGGCUGGGAGAGGCUGAAUGCAUGCAGCCAAAGGAAAGGUAUGCGGUACUGUCCUGAUGUCUUCAGAGAGAAGUGAAAAUGUUUGAUGCAGGAGUAGAUGUUGAAUGUACCCCAUCCAUGAGCUAGCUAAAGAAGAAUGACUGUAGGCAUGAUUACAUUCUGUGGAAUACUAUCAAGCUAAGGCCAGUGUAAGAGCAAUCUAAUGGAAGGCACAGAGUAAUUACAUCCUGUUGUGAAGGUAUAGGAUGCCACAUCUGGCUUGGCUGCGCACAUGCUACGUAUGACUUGGCUUCAAAUGGCUCCUUUUAAACUGCACCUCUUCAACAAAUUUCCCACUUUGGUGCAAGACCAUUCUAUGGUUAUCUUCAAUUUUAGCAGGCUGUGCUGGGGUCAGAUGUCCAGAAGGGAACAUUUCUAGCUAUAUCUUCAUUCUCAAGGAGAGUACCACUGUGGGCAUGCAUUUGCAGCUUGGAGCAGUAGCUGCUAAGAACCUGUUAGUUACAGCAUGUGACUGGGGAAGGAGCAUUACCACAGAUUACCUCUAGUCUAUUUUCAUGACCCCCUGUCAUGAACUGACAUGCAUAAGUACACUGCUGGAGUGUAUUUCCCACAUAGCUGCAUCUGGGAGGAAUCUAAUACUCUCCAAGAGCCAACCACAGUGCAGUGAAUGGGAAAACUGAAAGACUCACUUUAAAAAGAUAAGCCCCAUCUCAACUAAAAUGCUGGCCUAGUUUCACCCACUGAAUACAGCAGGCUUAGGAUCACUCCUCACAAGCAGUCAUGAAUUUUUCUUUCCUUCAAAACUGAGUUAGGAAAGAAUGACGUACUACUUAAGCAUGAAACCGGUGUGAACUUUCUGUGCAGAAAACAUAAUCAAGUGUGUAGUAACUUAUCUUCUUGACUGCAUGUUACUCUUAGCUGGGGAAACAUGGAAAAUUGUCUAUAUGGGCCACAUAGUCACUUUAGAUCUCUCAAUCUGUGAUGCAAAAAAAAACCACCAACAAAAACACUGUGUGUUUUAAAAACUAGAGAAAUUGUGGUCUAAUACAGGAAGGCUGUCUUUGUCCUCUAAAAGAUGAGCAGGAAUAAUUGAAUCAUUUUUGCCUUUCUUUUUGCUACUCCAAAACCUUCCUGCUGCAUAUGUAGCUUGUACUCCACAGCAUACAGUCAGCUGCAAGGCAGUAAAACCAAUUCUCUUUACAGAAAGACCCCAUUUCCCUUCCCAAAUACAAAUUUCAUUCCUUUAUUUCUGUUCAC
ensembl:lncRNA